GAUGAACGCUGGCGGCGUGCCUAAUACAUGCCAGUCGAGCGAACAGAUGAGGAGCUUGCUCCUCUGACGUUAGCGGCGGACGGGUGAGUAACACGUGGAUAACCUACCUAUAAGACUGGGAUAACUUCGGGAAACCGGAGCUAAUACCGGAUAAUAUAUUGAACCGCAUGGUUCAAUAGUGAAAGACGGUUUUGCUGUCACUUAUAGAUGGAUCCGCGCCGCAUUAGCUAGUUGGUAAGGUAACGGCUUACCAAGGCUACGAUGCGUAGCCGACCUGAGAGGGUGGUCGGCCACACGGGAACUGAGACACGGUCCAGACGCCUACGGGAGGCAGCAGUAGGGAAUCUUCCGCAAUGGGCGAAAGCUUGACGGAGCAACGCCGCGUGAGUGAUGAAGGUCUUCGGAUCGGAAAACUCUGUUAUUAGGGAAGAACAAAUGUGUAAGUAACUAUGCACGUCUUGACGGUACCUAAUCAGAAAGCCACGGCUAACUACGUG
rnacentral:rRNA from 1 species